rnacentral:lncRNA from 1 species
CAGAACUCCCAUGAGCCCAUGACAACCAUCGUGAAGUCUAGUCAGACAUUCUUUACCCCGAAUGUUGAUCGAAACCUCGCAAGGCUUUUGUAUCAAUUUUCUUACCUCCCUUGUGAUCGACAGUAACUGAAAUCGUGUUUUGAAACGAUAUGGACCAUUUUUCCAUCCAAAAACAAUAAAAAUUUAUUUCUGCCUCACAAGGGCAUUUUAGUCAUUUUUUUUUCAAAAAUACCGAAACCUGCCAAAAACAUGGUGUAAAAGCUAAAUAUAUUCAUACGUUCUUUAAAGUAGAUAACUGAAGUAUAAAAUUACUUUUAUAGUGACACGCGGGCCCCCAACUGACUAAGAAGGUAUAGGGCUAUGAACCCUUAUUUUCUAGAAAGCAACUCCGAGAUUAAUUC